rnacentral:rRNA from 1 species
CACGGGUGAGUAACACGUAUCCAACCUGCCGUCUACUCUUGGCCAGCCUUCUGAAAGGAAGAUUAAUCCAGGAUGGCAUCAUGAGUUCACAUGUCCGCAUGAUUAAAGGUAUUUUCCGGUAGACGAUGGGGAUGCGUUCCAUUAGAUAGUAGGCGGGGUAACGGCCCACCUAGUCAACGAUGGAUAGGGGUUCUGAGAGGAAGGUCCCCCACAUUGGAACUGAGACACGGACCAG